rnacentral:rRNA from 1 species
GAUUAAGUUAUUAAGGGCGCACGGUGGAUGCCUUGGCACUAGAAGCCGAUGAAGGACGUUACUAACGACGAUAUGCUUUGGGGAGCUGUAAGUAAGCUUUGAUCCAGAGAUUUCCGAAUGGGGAAACCCAGCAUGAGUUAUGUCAUGUUAUCGAUAUGUGAAUACAUAGCAUAUCAGAAGGCACACCCGGAGAACUGAAACAUCUUAGUACCCGGAGGAAGAGAAAGAAAAUUCGAUUCCCUUAGUAGCGGCGAGCGAAACGGGAAGAGCCCAAACCAACAAGCUUGCUUGUUGGGGUUGUAGGACACUCUAUACGGAGUUACAAAGGACGACAUUAGACGAAUCAUCUGGAAAGAUGAAUCAAAGAAGGUAAUAAUCCUGUAGUCGAAAAUGUUGUCUCUCUUGAGUGGAUCCUGAGUACGACGGAGCACGUGAAAUUCCGUCGGAAUCUGGGAGGACCAUCUCCUAAGGCUAAAUACUCUCUAGUGACCGAUAGUGAACCAGUACCGUGAGGGAAAGGUGAAAAGCACCCCGGAAGGGGAGUGAAAUAGAACCUGAAACCGUGUGCUUACAAGUAGUCAGAGCCCGUUAAUGGGUGAUGGCGUGCCUUUUGUAGAAUGAACCGGCGAGUUACGAUUUGAUGCAAGGUUAAGCAGUAAAUGUGGAGCCGUAGCGAAAGCGAGUCUGAAUAGGGCGUUUAGUAUUUGGUCGUAGACCCGAAACCAGGUGAUCUACCCUUGGUCAGGUUGAAGUUCAGGUAACACUGAAUGGAGGACCGAACCGACUUACGUUGAAAAGUGAGCGGAUGAACUGAGGGUAGCGGAGAAAUUCCAAUCGAACCUGGAGAUAGCUGGUUCUCUCCGAAAUAGCUUUAGGGCUAGCCUCAAGUGAUGAUUAUUGGAGGUAGAGCACUGUUUGGACGAGGGGCCCCUCUCGGGUUACCGAAUUCAGACAAACUCCGAAUGCCAAUUAAUUUAACUUGGGAGUCAGAACAUGGGUGAUAAGGUCCGUGUUCGAAAGGGAAACAGCCCAGACCACCAGCUAAGGUCCCAAAAUAUAUGUUAAGUGGAAAAGGAUGUGGCGUUGCCCAGACAACUAGGAUGUUGGCUUAGAAGCAGCCAUCAUUUAAAGAGUGCGUAAUAGCUCACUAGUCGAGUGACACUGCGCCGAAAAUGUACCGGGGCUAAACAUAUUACCGAAGCUGUGGAUUGUCCUUUGGACAAUGGUAGGAGAGCGUUCUAAGGGCGUUGAAGCAUGAUCGUAAGGACAUGUGGAGCGCUUAGAAGUGAGAAUGCCGGUGUGAGUAGCGAA